AAUGAACGUUGGCGGCGUGGAUUAGGCAUGCGAGUCGUGCGAGAACCGUAGCAAUACGGGGACAGCGGCGAAAGGGAGAGGAACACGUGGAUACCUACCCCCAGGUCCAGGAUAGCUAUGGGAAACUAUAGGUAAUACUGGAUAACAUCUCCGGAUCAAAGGUGUGAUUCCGCCCGGGGAGGGGUCCGCGUCCUAUUAGCUAGUUGGUGAGGUAACGGCUCACCAAGGCGAAGAUGGGUACGGGAUGUGAGAGCAUGAUCCCGCUCAUUGGGACUGAGACACUGCCCAGACACCUACGGGUGGCAG
rnacentral:rRNA from 1 species